rnacentral:tRNA from 1 species
GGGACUGUGGCUCAGUGGCAGAGCCCUUACCUCUCAAGUAGGAGGCACUGGGUUUGAUCCACAGCACCA